UACGUAGGCAGCGAGCGUUGUUCGGAAUUACUGGGCGUAAAGAGCGCGUAGGCGGUGCUCUAAGUUUGGUGUGAAAUCCCCCGGCUUAACUGGGAGGGUGCGCCGGAAACUGGAGUGCUUGAGCGCGGGAGAGGAAAGCGGAAUUCCUGGUGUAGCGGUGAAAUGCGUAGAUAUCAGGAGGAACACCUGUGGUGUAGACGGCUUUCUGGACCGUAGCUGACGCUGAGACACGAAAGCGUGGGUAGCAAACAGG
rnacentral:rRNA from 1 species